ACAAUCUUAGCAAUGUCAGCCAAACUCCGAAUGCCACUAAUUGUGUUGUACGGCAGUGAGACUGUGGGGGAUAAGCUUCAUAGUCGAGAGGGAAACAGCCCAGAUCGCCGGUUAAGGCCCCUAAGGGUGUACUAAGUGGAAAAGGAUGUGGGAUCGCGAAGACAGCCAGGAGGUUGGCUUAGAAGCAGCCAUCCUUGAAAGAGUGCGUAAUAGCUCACUGGUCGAGUGGUUCUGCGCCGACAAUGUAGUGGGGCUCAAGUACACCGCCGAAGCCGCGGCAACAAUUUUUUUGUUGGGUAGGGGAGCGUCGUGCAUGGGUUGAAGCGUUACCGUAAGGAGGCGUGGACUGUGUGCGAGUGAGAAUGCAGGCAUGAGUAACGAAUUGAUAGGUGAGAAUCCUAUCCGCCGGAUGACUAAGGGUUCCUGGGUCAAGUUCGUCUUCCCAGGGUGAGUCGGGACCUAAGGCGAGGCCGACAGGCGUAGUCGAUGGAUAACCAGUUGAUAUUCUGGUACCCGUACAUGCGCGCCCAUGAUAAAGCACUGAUACUAACCACCGCGGAUGCAUUGCUGGUCUUCUUUGAAGUCUGGUGGUGUUGAUGUCGUGGGGCCUGAUGUGUGGUUCAAGUGAUGGGGUGACGCAGUGAGGUAGCCACGCCACUUAUUGGAUUGGUGGUGUAAGCGUGCAGACCGUGUGGUAGGUAAAUCCGCUGCACAUUUUGGUUGAGGCGUGAUGCGUAGACCCAUUGGGGUUGAUGGUGGUGAUCCUGUACUGUCGAGAAAAGCCUCUAGCGAUGUGUGUGUAUGGCCCGUACCCUAAACCGACACAGGUGGUCAGGUUGAAAAUACUAAGGCGUUCGGGUGAACUGUGGUUAAGGAAUUCGGCAAAAUGCCCCCGUAACUUCGGGAGAAGGGGGGCCCUACGAUGUGAGCAUCCUUGCGGUGUUAAGCGUUGUGGGGUCGCAGAGAAUAGAGGGAAGCGACUGUUUAUCAAAAACACAGGUCCAUGCGAAGACGUUAAGUUGAUGUAUAUGGACUGACGCCUGCCCGGUGCUGGAAGGUUAAGAGGACCGGUUAGUCAACUUUGUUGGCGAAGCUGAGAAUUUAAGCCCCAGUAAACGGCGGUGGUAACUAUAACCAUCCUAAGGUAGCGAAAUUCCUUGUCGGGUAAGUUCCGACCUGCACGAAUGGCGUAACGACUUCUCUGCUGUCUCAACCACAGGCCCGGUGAAAUUGCACUACGAGUAAAGAUGCUCGUUACGCGCGGCAGGACGAAAAGACCCCGGGACCUUCACUAUAGCUUGGUAUUGGUGUUUGGUUCGGUUUGUGUAGGAUAGGUGGGAGACUUGGAAGCUAUCACGCUAGUGGUGGUGGAGUCGUUGUUGAAAUACCACUCUGAUCGGAUUGAGCAUCUAACCUUGGCCCAUGAUCUGGGUUGGGGACAGUGCCUGGUGGGUAGUUUAACUGGGGCGGUUGCCUCCCAAAAUGUAACGGAGGCGCCCAAAGGUUCCCUCAGCCUGGUUGGCAAUCAGGUGGUGAGUGUAAGUGCACAAGGGAGCUUGACUGUGAGACAGACAUGUCGAGCAGGGACGAAAGUCGGGACUAGUGAUCCGGCACCUACUUGUGGAUGUGGUGUCGCUCAACGGAUAAAAGGUACUCCGGGGAUAACAGGCU
rnacentral:rRNA from 1 species